GUGUCCACGAAGUUGGAAUCUGGUGAACGCCGUGGGGGGGUUCAAUCAAGGGCUUUUCCGCCCUUUAAGAAGUUACAAACUCCGACAUGUUUGUAGUCGCACAGCUGAACUGAGAGCCGCGGGUUUUGGGGGGGAUUCGAGCGCUCCGAAUGGUGCACGGUUACGGAAGAAAGAACGUCAUUCAUCAGUCUAGGCUGUGAUUGGUCAGAAACAGUUUCAGUCCUCUGCAACUUUACUGACGCAGGAACUAUUUGGCACAACACCCUGUCUGGUUUUUCCUGCUCGAUCGCCCCCACUCCGGCUCUCUCUCGCUCCAGGUUGGGUGCCGACGGCAGACUUUUUGGACCGAGGCGGUUUUUUCCUCCACUUCUGCCCCUUUUUUAGUCAAAGCGCACGAGAGCCGAACUCAGUAAGUUGCCAGCGACUCUGCUAGUCAUUUUUAGGUCAUUACCACCCCACCCACCCACCCCCCUCCUCCACACACACACACACACACACACACUCAAUCCCAUCUUACCUUAACUCUUUUUCAACGCAAUAUCCUUAGUUCUACUCAAGUUUCAUGAAGUUUCGUGCAGGAUUCAAAGUGCC
rnacentral:lncRNA from 1 species